UACGUAGGGUGCGAGCGUUAAUCGGAAUUACUGGGCGUAAAGUGUGCGCAGGCGGCCGAGCAAGUCGAGUGUGAAAGCCCCGAGCUUAACUUGGGAACUGCGCUCGAAACUACUUGGCUAGAGUGUGGCAGAGGGAGGUGGAAUUCCACGUGUAGCGGUGAAAUGCGUAGAGAUGUGGAGGAACACCGAUGGCGAAGGCGGCCUUCUGGACAGUGACUGACGCUGAGACGCGAAAGCGUGGGGAGCAAACAGG
rnacentral:rRNA from 1 species